AAGACUAUACUUCACAGGAUCAUUUCUGUAGUCAGUCUUCAUUUAUUGCCAUCACAAGAUGGCCAUAACUCUACCCGCGAUGACGAGUUAUGUCGUUUUACCUGGAGCGUGAGGUUAUGAACAUUGUCGGUUCAGUUCGCCAUUAUGGUGGGCUGGGGAA
rnacentral:snoRNA from 1 species